rnacentral:lncRNA from 1 species
UCCGGCUACUAUACUCUUAUGAGUACGAUUGCCCUCGUACUCAUAAUGUUUUCGAUGAUAGAGUCUUCGAAUCGAUGAAUCCAUACCGUUAAACAUUAUUAGAGCAUUUAAAACUUCUAGAAAUCAAAUUUCAUAAUUUUCGACCUCAUUUACCUUAGCGAUCAAAGGCUCACAAAAUGACAAUUUUAAAACGGCCGGUAUGGGAUACUCGCCUAGUUUAACGGUGUAAAAGAAUUGAAUAGGUGAAUUUUUGAUAAAAAAUUUUAUUCACUACCUAGAUAAAGAUACAAUAACUCCGAUUAAGCUGAAGCACAUCCGAUCAUUCAUUUUUAAGACGUCGUUCGAUUUUGACCGUUCAUUUUUAUGCCCGUUUUGAUUGACUUUAUUAUGAUUCGAAAAUUACAAAAUUUAUAUUUUAGAAGUUUCAAAUACUCUAGAUCAUAUUUAAUUAGGAGUGGAUCGUCGAUUCGGAAGCCCCAUCAUCGAAAACAACUUAUGAGUACGAAGGCCCAAUACUCAUAGCACUCUAUAUAUAUAUAUAUAUAUAGAAUUGAGCUCCUAUGCUUUUAAAAGUCCCAAAUCAUUGGUGGCUUGUAGAUUUUGCGCCUUCGAUUAGAGUGUGCAGUUAGGAUAGAUAGUGGUCCCCUAGGUGGGUGGAUGGUUGGUCAAAUAAUAUGAUCAAACGAGUGGAAUGGUCAAAGGAAUAGAUCUAACGGCGGAAACUUACAAGUACCAAGUACUUGGUGCUUUUACUCUCUCUCUCUCUCUCUCUCCUCUCUCUCUCUCUCUCUCUCUCUUAUAUAGAAAUAAUAUUAUAUAUAUAUAUAUAUAUAUAGUCCGGCUACUAUACUCUUAUGAGUACAAUCGCCCUUGUACUCAUAAGUUGUUUUCGAUGUUAGAGCUUCCGAAUCGACAAUCCACACCAUUAAACAUUAUCUAGAGCAUUUAAAACGUCUAGAAAUCAAAUUUUAUAAUUUUUCAACAUCAUUUACCUUACGAUCAAAAGGUCACAAAAUUGACAAUUUUUAAUGGCCAGUAUUGAAUAUUUGCCAAUUUAACGGUGUAAAAAAAUCGAAAUCGGUUGAAUUUUUUACAGAAAAUUCUAUUCACUACAUAGAUAAAGAUCAAUAACUUCGAUCUUAAAUUGAAGGAUCCGAUCAUCUAUAACGGAGUGGAUCACUACUCUAGAUUCAAAUUUUAUACUCUUAUGAGUUUCAAAUACUCUAGAUCAUAUUUAACAGAGCGGAUUGUCGAUUCGGAAGCUCCAUCAUUGAAAACAACUUAUGAGUAUGAAGGGUUCUAUACUCAUAAGAGUAUAGUAGCCCUAGCCUAUAUAUAUAUAAGUUGAGCUAGAAUACUCUCAAAAGCACCAAGGGUAUGGUGCUUUUGAGUUUUUAGCCUUUGGAUAGAGAGAUGUAGGGUUGGGAUGAUGGUGGUAGGUGGUGGUAGGUAGAAUAGUGUUUGAUCCAACGGCUAUUAGUAAUUAAGAAGUAGAUCCAAGGGCUAGAAACCUAGAAGCACCAAGGGGUUGGUGCUUCUAAAAGUAUUCUAGCUCAAUUCAUAUAUAUAUAUACACACACAGACACAUAUCUAUAGAGAGUCUGGCUACUACGCUAUCAAUAGCAUCACGCGGUUGGUGCUACCAAGUUUUCCGCCGUUAGAUCUACCCCUUUGACGAUUUUCACUUAUUAGAUCAUACUAUUCAACCAACCACCUACUCAACCCUAGGGGACCACUAUCAUUCUAACCGCACAUCCCUUUAUCCAAGGGCUGAAAACCUAAUAGCACCAAUUACUUGUUGCUAUUAACAGUAUAGUAGCCUAGUUCUAUAUAUGUAAUAUACCGAAACCUCGGUAGGUUAUAUCGGACUUUAGUCAAAUUGAUCAAAGUGCGUCGAGAGAAAUAGUUGGACAAAAUCCAUUUGACAUUCCAACAAUGUUGGAAGGGUUAAAGUUGAGUUCCAAGUGAGAUAGAAGGGUUUUAGCAUUGCUCGACGCGAAAAGGAACCGAGCACUGCCAAAACUGCAGUCUGGGCACUGCUUAACCGGUGAAGCAUCAGGGCAGUACCGGUACCAGGCAGGCCACCUGAGAAGCCAGCUCUCGGGUUUGGCCUCUGUCAAGCUGCUUAACCGGUGAACCCGCGUACCGGUACCCCGCAGCAACCCGAGAACAGCAGCUCACGGGUUUGGGCUGUUGAACAGGGGCUUAACCGGUGACACCCACCCGCGUACCGAUACACAAUGCUGCGAACAGCAGGCUGGGUCUGCUGCAAAUAAAAAGAGUUGGAGGGUUUAUUUGUAAUUGUAACAGCCUAUAAAGACCCCACCACCCCCUCCUCUCUUGUUCACAGCAGUGAACACCUCCUCCUCUCUCAUUUUUCUCCCUCUCUCUCUCUAGGAGCUUUUGGAGGAGUUUGAAGGAAAGGCAUUGAAGGAGGAUUUGGUGGAGAAGAAAGCAAAGGAGUGAAGCAACUUCUUCUUCUUCUUCCUUAGCUCAAAAAAAGGAAAGCUCUUAAGGUAAGCUCCAUAAGCUCUCAUGGUAGAUGUCUAGGGCUUGGUUCAAAUGACCUAGAAAUGGUUUUAGUUGAAUCUCUAGUUGAUAUUAAGCUUGUUUUUGCUUUUUUUAGAGAUCAAUAUGGUGUAUGUUGCUAUAUGACAUGUUAGGGCACCAAAAUUGGGGCUUUUGUCAUAGAUGGGUUUAAAUGUAAAUUGACCUUAUAGAAACCUAAUUGAAGGUAUUUUCGACGCGUUGGUGGACUCGAUUCGAGGAUCCGACGAGUCUACGCAUAGGAAUUGAGGAAAAACCCCGUUUCGGCUUCGUUUGCCGCAAUCGGAAGAAAUAAGCGCCCAAAAAUCACGAAAAUUGAACCGUAGCACCUUGGUAAUCAUACGAGGUGGGUGGUGCUUUUCGAAAUCCUCGAAUCUCCUUUUAUGUCUAAAAUGUCAUUUCUUGAGCAUAUGUAUAUAUUGAGCUUCAUGCAUUGUACGGUGAUUGAGAGUUUGUUGUUGCAUGUUGUGAGUACGAAUGCAUAUGAGAUGAUUGUAAACUAAUGAGAACUUGUAAAACCCUAUGUAUGCAUGAAUGAUGAUAAGAAUCUAGAAAAGGCAAAGAAUCUAGUGACAUUGAAAACGAAUGACAUUAUGACAUCAAUAAUAGAGUGGCAUCAAUGAGUUUUGAAUGGUAAUGUACAAGUGUGGCAUUAACAAGAACAACAAAUACAAGAAUAUGAGACACUAGAUGUGUGGCAUGAGUAAGAACAUAGAAUGCAAGAACUUGAGAUAUUUGAUAAUCCUCAUAGUUGAGGCAACCUCAUAGAUAAGGUAUGAUUGAGCAUUGCAUCCUUCUAGUUAAGGAUUGGAUUAAACUUGACAUCCUUAAAGUUAAGGAUUGGAUCAUACUCACCUAUAAGUCUUGGCUUGAGGGUGGUAGCUCCCCCUCAAGCGAUGAGUUUCGGAGUGUCAUCACUGGGUUGGUGUUUUCCCCAGAGGACGGUCCAGUCGGGUUGUAGCGAAUAUCUCCCCGAUAUUAGGGAUUUGAGUUAGGGAGUCUAUUGAGGGCGAAACCUACAGGUUAGCCAAGAGAUUGAGUAAAGGAAUUGUGAUCUUGCAUGCAUCAUGAGCAUUCUAUUUGAGCAUAAUUGUUGAUUAUAUCUUGUUCAGGCAUAUUAGCUGCAUCUGUAUAGUUUGGUUACUAUCUAUCUGUUUAUUCUUCUAUUAUGUCUGAUUUAGACCUAGUGAGAAAGUCGGCGAGGUCGGCGGCUGAACCCACUGGAAACUUUGUUGUAGUUCUCAGACCACUAUUUUUCACAGAGUCGGGACCGAGUGAUCCGGCCGACGAUCGCGGUAAAGGUAUCGCACCAUAGACAGUGACUACCCGAGUCGGUUCAUACUUAUUUAGUUGCAUACCCUAUAUAUCAUCUUUUGUAUUUGAUGAUGUAGUAUUAUGAACAUGAUAAAUAAUGUAAAGAGAGCUUAUGGUUGAAUGUAAAAGGUUAUAUUUUGGGAAUAUGUGAUGUAUAAAAAAAAUGAUGGAAAAGAAUGUAAAAGAAUUCAAACGUUGAAUACAUGUAUGUGGUUAAAAGUUGAUCAUAUUACUUAUAUAUUGUUUAGUUUAGUACUUUUACUUUUGGCUAUUGUUUGCCCUCGUGCAAGCCAUGUAUAUCUUUAAAUUCAUAUAUACAUGAUCUGUACUUGUGUUGAGCCUUGGGCGAACAGGAGAAGUGCUGUCCGUUCGGCGUCUGUUCGACGUGCCCAAACCGACCAAAUGGGCCGGUCCCGAGGCGUGACAAUACAUACAUACAUACAUAUGUAUGUAUGUACAUACAUACAUAUAUGUGUAUAUACAUAUAUGUAUAUACAUAUAUAUAUAUAUAGAGUCCGACUACUAUACUCUUCUGAGUACGAUCGCCCUCGUACUCAUAAGUCGUUUUCGAUGAUAGAGCUUCCGAAUCGACGAUCCAGACCGUUAAACAUUUUGUAGAGCAUUUAAAACUUCUAGAAAUCAAAUUUCAUAAUUUUUCGACAUCAUUUACCUUGCGAUCAAAAGGUCACAAUUGACAAUUUUUAAGGUUGGUAUGAAAUACUUGCUAGUUUAACGGUGCAAAAGAAUCCGAAUAGGUUGAAUUUUUGAUGGAAAAUUCUAUUCACUACCUAGAUAAAGAUCAAUAACUCUGAUCUUAAAUUGAAGGAUCCGAUCAUCCAUUUUUAAGACGUCGUUCGAUUUUGACCGUUCAUUUUAUACCCGCUUGAUGGACAUUAUUAUGAUUUCG